rnacentral:rRNA from 1 species
GAUUGUUAUAUAGAGUCUGGCCUGCCCGCUGAUUUAAAUUGAAGGGCCGCGGUAUUUUGACCGUGCGAAGGUAGCAUAAUCAUUAGUCUUUUAAUUGGAGGCUUGUAUGAAUGGUUGGACAAAAAGCAAACUGUCUCGAUUAUAUAAAUUGAAUUUAACUUUUAAGUGAAAAGGCUUAAAUGUACUAGGGGGACGAUAAGACCCUAUAAAGCUUUACAAUUAUUUAAUUAAAUUAUAAAUUGUUAGUAUAACUUAAUUUAGUUAAUAUUUGUUUCGUUGGGGCGACGAGAAUAUAAUUUUAAGUAAC